rnacentral:rRNA from 1 species
GACGAACGCUGGCGGCGUGCUUAACACAUGCAAGUCGAACGGAAAGGCCCUGCUUUUGUGGGGUGCUCGAGUGGCGAACGGGGGAGUAACACGUGAGUAACCUGCCCUUGACUUUGGGAUAACUUCAGGAAACUCGGGCUAAUACCGGAUAGGAGCUCCUGCUGCAUGGUGGGGGUUGGAAAGUUUCGGCGGUGGGGGCUGGACUCGCGGCUUAUGAGCUUGUUGGUGGGGUAGUGGCUUACCAAGGCUUUGACGGGUAGCCGGCAUGAGAGGGUGACCGGCGACAUGGGGACUGAGGUACGGACCAGACUGCUACGGGAGGCAGCAGUGGGGAAUAUUGCACAGUGGGCGGAAGCCUGAGGCGGAGACGCCGGGUGCGGGAUGACGUCCUUCGGGGUGUAAACCUCUGUCGACGGUGACGAAGCGUGAGUGACGGUAAUGGGUAAAGAAGCACCGGCUAACUACGUG